UACGUAGGGUGCAAGCGUUGUCCGGAAUUAUUGGGCGUAAAGAGCUCGUAGGCGGUCUGUCGCGUCGGCUGUGAAAUCCCGGAGCUCAACUCCGGGCCUGCAGUCGAUACGGGCAGACUGGAGUUCGGCAGGGGAGACUGGAAUUCCUGGUGUAGCGGUGAAAUGCGCAGAUAUCAGGAGGAACACCGGUGGCGAAGGCGGGUCUCUGGGCAACAACUGACGCUGAGGAGCGAAAGCGUGGGGAGCGAACAGG
rnacentral:rRNA from 1 species